rnacentral:lncRNA from 1 species
AAAAAAUUCCAUCGACCAGGAAGCCGAUGACCGAGUUGAUAACCUUUGAAUAUCUCCGUUAAUGUAUUAUGACGACAUAAAAAGCAUCGACUGAUAAGCUUAUAAAAUACAUCAUGUAGUUAAGGUACUGCGACAAGGGGUAAACACGCAGAGAAUAGAGCUUUUGUUGAAUUGACGACUGUGACCGUUUCUUGAAAAACUGUUUGUUUCAAUAACUAUAAUAUUUUUCUUAUUCUCAAGUUGGAGUGGCUAUACAUCAAUUUGGCUCGAACAUUAAAUCAAUUUAUACUUGAAGUGAAAUGCUUCAAAGGUUGAGAAAAAUAGCAGCGAAUUCACGUUUUGUCACAGGUAAGAAAUACAUUUAAAGAAAACACACAAAUAUCUGCAUUCUUGCUCAGUUAGCGAUCGUAAGAAAUGAUCAAUUAAUAAUCAGUAGGAUCAACUCAUUGAUCUCAAUGAUAUUAUUACGAAUACUGUAUUUAGAGAAUUCAAUUUUAAAGCGUAUUUCUCGACGUACCUGCAAGAUUUUUUUUGCGACGUCUUCAUUAGAUAUAUUAAAUUUACUUCAGCUGCUCCACAAAAAGAAAAACUCAUGGACUUUGGUGCAGGUAAUAUGAUUCCCUUACGGAGUCUCAACGAUAAUCAGCAGAGGAUCUCACCUGGAACAGAAAACACACAAAAACCCCACCGAUCAAAAUUUUGAGGGAGAAGGCUUGAAUCUUGCAACUGUCGUUAGAAGGAAACGGAAGCUCGUCAGCUUGGCAGCAGCCGAGACACAAAGGACCGAAAACCGGAGGAGCUUUCUUUCUCACGACCGGAACGGAAACCAGGCCUGCCAACUUGUAGCAGGUGAAAAAAACGUUCAUUCCGGACCAUCGACCGACACUUUCCAAAGGACGCACUCACAAUCAGCCGCGUGCCUCUUUAGGGGUUCAUUUGGGAAUACGAGGAGUAUUUAACGAAACAUGGGACAGGAUACGCACCCCGAGAUGCAAAAUUUCAUGAAACUUAAUGUAAUGAACUGUUUUAAAACUUCAGCCAUGUACUCUACAUGCCAUGAAACGCAGCAGUAAGUAAAAUCUUCGUUCAGGAAUUUUUCUUUAAAAAAUAUAUUAAUCUAAAACAAGAAAAAAUUAAAUAAAAAUUGAUGGUUCUGAUUGAAUUCUGUCGUGAUCGUUGCAGGUUCCAUACCUAUGCCGUCCCUAAAACCAAUUUAUUGUAUUUUUGCAAUUAGUAUUAAUUUUAUAUUGAUUGAAUUUUGACAGUAAUAACUAGCCUGGAUUCUUCAAAAAAUUACUUUUAUCACAUAAAAUUGAUCAGCUUAUGAUGACAUACCGAGGCAUUUUGGCUGAGACCAUCUUCAGGGUGU